AGUAGGUCAUGCUUAGCCUUGUCUAAAAUAACUAGGCAGAUGUGUUUAUCUGGCAUCUCCAGCUUUAUUGUGAGCAAACAGAGAGGUUAAGAUACUUGCCCUGAGACACCCAGUGAAUGAGUUAUAGAAACAAGACUAGAAUGUACCUAUGAGUGUGUUGCUGAAUGCUGAAUCCCAAAAUAUCACCAUGACAACCUGUAGACAAGCAAAGUGGAGUUUAUUGCCUACCAUAAGAGAGACUCAGCUUGACAGAGUCUAGUUGGGUCUCACUGGGGCAAGAGCAAAGAAUGUUUACUGAGAAUUUCAAGUCUGGUUUAAGGUGGAUCUUUCAAUGCAGAAGCUUGGUGAGAAGCAGGUGAUGUUUCUCCAAAUGAUGCUUCAGGGAUCCAGAUAUUUUCCAUCUUUAGACUCCACUGAGGUCUAAGAUCACAGAGUCUUCUGCUUCCAGCUCCAGAAAAGGAAAGAAGAGUGAAGGUAAAUUAUUGAGCAUGUCCACCUCAAGAGAGAAUGCCACCGAACAUAAAAUAAAAUGUUAAUAUUGUG
ensembl:lncRNA